UGUUAAACACUACCGUUGACUUCUCAGUUUUACUAAUUGGUGGCUGACCUGAACUUAGCACGUUCUGUGUUAGAUUGCUCAACCUGUCUGCUCCACACAAAGCCGCCUCCCUAACCACUACUUGCUUUCUUUUUUCGAAUUAGCCUACACCCAAAGCCACCGUCAGAUGUCACAGGGAUGAGACUUCACAAGGAGUCCUUGAUGCUCUGUGGUUGUUACUUAUCACCUUUUGGGGGUUCUGAAGAAACACUAUGAAGUUGAUUCCUGACUGCUUGGGCCUUUUCUGUUCACUAGGGCCCAUAAGGCUCCUGAGCCAGGGAAGUGUACCUGGGAGGAUGACAGCAUUGAUUAAUGGUUCUUCCAAUCCCCAGCUCCCACAUACUUCAUAUUUCCUUCUUCUCGUGAAAAAAUACAAAAGCUCUAAUGCAUUUCAACUUGUCCAAAUGGGCCCUCAGUGUGGAAGAUGACUUUAGUUUCUCAAACAG